rnacentral:rRNA from 1 species
UACGUAGGGUGCAAGCGUUGUCCGGAAUUAUUGGGCGUAAAGAGCUUGUAGGCGGUUUGUCGCGUCUGCUGUGAAAAUCCGGGGCUCAACCCCGGACUUGCAGUGGGUACGGGCAGACUAGAGUGUGGUAGGGGAGACUGGAAUUCCUGGUGUAGCGGUGAAAUGCGCAGAUAUCAGGAAGAACACCAAUGGCGAAAGCAGCUUUCUGGGACGGUACUGACGCUGAGACGCGAAAGCGUGGGGAGCGAACAGG